UGGGGAAUAUUGCACAAUGGGCGCAAGCCUGAUGCAGCAACGCCGCGUGAGGGAAGAAGGGAUUCGUCUCGUAAACCUAUAUCGAUGGGGACAAUAAUGAUGGUACCCAAGUAAGAAGCCCCGGCUAACUACGUGCCAGCAGCCGCGGUAAUACGUAGGGGGCAAGCGUUAUCCGGAAUCACUGGGUGUAAAGGGUGAGUAGGCGGUUUGAAAAGUCACAUGUGAAAUAUUACGGCUUAACCGUAAAACUGCAUGAGAAACUUUUGAACUAGAGUACGGAAGAGGUAAGCGGAAUUCCUAGUGUAGCGGUGAAAUGCGUAGAUAUUAGGAAGAACACCGGUGGCGAAGGCGGCUUACUGGGCCAAUACUGACGCUGAGACACGAAAGCGUGGGGAGCAAACA
rnacentral:rRNA from 1 species